rnacentral:lncRNA from 1 species
AACAAAUUCAUAACCACGUACCUUGAUCUAACUGCCAUAUGGAGUAAAACAGCAUAACAAUAUACAUUUGUAUUAUAUAUUGGAAUAAUUCAAAAAGCCUGAUAACGAUGUGCAUCUCGUGUCAUUUUCAGAAUGUAUCACCCAAUGACAAUGCACAAAUGGAGUAACUUAGGGGAUGAAAGGUUGACAGCGCAGCAACUCAACAAACUCAUAGAUGCAUCAGAUGAUCGCUAUGUAGCGGCUGCAGAAAGAAUGAAAAAUGUUGACAUUUUAAUCAUUGAUGAAAUUCCGAUGUUUAGUAAAUCCAUGUUUGAAAUUAUGAGUCAUGUAAGAGGAAGCAGUGAAGUAUUUGGUGGGGCACAGCUUGUCAUUGUAGGAGAUUUUCUUGAUCUCCUCACCCUGUUAGAAGUUCAAGGUAUAAUGAUCCUGGAGAAUUCUGAUUCCAGUCUGAGGUAUUUCCUGUUCAUAGUAUAUAAUUGCUACAUGUUAUGAGACAGACAGAUGAACGAUUUAUUAAAAUAGUGCAUAAUCUUGCCAUUGGAAAGGUUGACCAUUAAACUACCGCUUAUGUGAAAUAUUUAAGAAGGCCUUUAACUCUCCCAGGCCAAGAGACGACAAGACUCUUCUCCGUUAACAUAUUGGCAGACAUUUACAGCAGAGACUGCAAAAUGAAACUCACAGGUAAUGUCUUUGAAUUCGAAAGCAAUUGGCGAGGGCGAGGAGCGGCACUUAAACACCUUGAUCGCUCAGAAGACCCUUUGAUUAAAAAAAAAUUGCAAAGGUCAGGUUACUGCAUAACCUGUCUGACCAGCUUGUAAAUGUUUUAUGUGGCUUAGUUGUGGAAGUUAGAGAGGGUGAAGUAGAUGACCACUUCUCAACACUAGGCAAGCUUACUACUUUAACAAGGAUGAACUUUGCAGAAUUCCACUCAUGUGAAAUAAUUUCUAAUUCAAGCUGUGACUCCUUAUGACUGUUUACUAAUAUUUGAUCCAGCCUCCAACAGAAACGUAGCAGUAAGAAAUCAGGUGCCGCUGAAAUUAUGCUAUGCAAUUAAAAUGCACAAAGCUCAAGGAAUGACACUUGAUAGGGUUGAAGUUGACUGUAGACAGAUUUUCCAGUCUGGACAGCUAGCUGUGGCGAUGGGCCGUGUUAAGUCACCUGAUGGUUUGCGGGUGGUGAACUUAACUGAAGAUGCUGUUAUCCCACAACCUUCUCUGGUGUUAGAUUUCUUGAAUGGCCAGUGGAUACCAGCAGAGGUUGAUAAAUCCUGCUGCCAUACAAUGUGUUGUGUUCACAUAGACCACUUUUUGUCUCUUACAAGAAGUACGAUGUUGCUGCUUCAUAAAAUUGUAUGACACAGACUGUUUGCAGUAUUUUGAUCACACAAUUUGCUUUUUCACUGAAUUUGUCUCGAUGAUUUCAGUCAUGUAAUUUCCUUUUAAUUCUAUUUUUUUCUUCUCUAGGUCAGAACCUUCACAUUAAAGUUGUCUUAACUGCUUCACAAACAUUUUGAACUCCCACUUUAUUACAAUCAUAGUGUGGCGAUAUUAGUAGUUGAUUUAAAUCUAUGGAGGAUCCUGCAAUGAACACGGGGAAUUUGUUUUUUUCAAAAGAACAGUUUUAGAUAUUUUACUGUUUUUCACUGACAUGUCAGUUUCAUAUGACACCUCAACAUUUGUAUCACUGCAUUUUAUUUACAGUGAAUCCUGUUGGUAAGGAUGACACAACAGUUGCUGCAUUAAAUUCACUGCCUACCGGUAUUGGAGUUUUUUUUCUUCCAGGCAAGUGCGUAGUGGGCCUGUUUCUUUCCAGCAAACACUAUUCUUGUUGGUUUGAAUGUGAAAACUCUCUGUAAAAUUGACAAAAGUUGGUCACCUGUCAGACUUUGAGCCUCAUCUUGUGAAUCCAGGAGGAUUUCCAUUUUGUAUGUGUCCAGUAUGUCUUGUACACAUAUGCUGCCACCACAAUCAGCAGAUAGAGGUUGAAUAAGGUUGUGGAAUUAAAAAAAAAAGAUGGUCAGUUAAACUGUCUGAACUAGAUGACACUAUACACAUAUAUGACUAUGACACUGUCCCAGAGGUUAUGACACUGUACAAAUAUGGGAUAAUGGUGAAGUUACGGCAAAAUCCGUCUUAUAAAUUAUGAAAAAGCCGGCAUUGAAGAUUUAGGCUUAACCUGAUACGAUUAAAUUGAAAAAAAGGUGUUUUUUUUAUAUUUGGUAUUUUAUUGCACAUGAAUCAAUGAAUAUAUUGUGUAAGCAAAUGUAUUUUAGAAAAUAUAUCUAGUUAUUUACACAAACUUGUGUUCCAUCUAUAAGAAAAAAAUGCUGCUUUAUACAACAUAAACAUUUAGUGAGGGUUUGGUAUUAAUUCCAACCUAGUUUUAAAGAAUCAAAGAAUAUAAUAACUCAUUCUGACACUCUAUCAUCUUGGUUGGUAUUAACUAAAAAAUGCCCCGUGGAUAUCCUCUUUGGUAGGAUAACUUAGACUGACCACUCUGGCUUAUCAGCAUUAUGCUUGAAUUGUUUAGAAAUGACCUGUACAUAUAGUUCUCACCCUAUCUUUUUCCUAGAGCAUAACAAAUUGCCUCGUUCCGAGAUACACGUCAAGCAGCUUUCUUUGUGUUCUAUACAGCCGAGCAAGCAGACACCAUUUUUAGAAACUCUAACCGCCAUCCAACACCUCCAACUAGUUUCAACAGUUCUGCAGACUUGGAGCAAUCCCGUACAGUCAUGUCAUGCCAUUAUAUAAUUUCCAUUAUAUACGCGCCCCCUAAAAGAAUCGCUGAAUAGAACCAAAUAAUGCAUAUAUCAAAGUAUAUCAAAGGUUGAUACAAUGUCCGGCUUCAACCUGGUCAAACUGGUUCUACUUGGCUGGUUCUUCAUUUCGAACUCGGCUGCCCUGUCCUUGCAACAGUCUUUCGUACUAGUGCUGAUUAAUUUCAUGCAUGUACGCCUUCGACCCGACUGCCUGUCUCUUUCGGACACUAACCUCUGCCCUGCGCAUACCUCAGUUCUCACUAUGAUAACUGCCGCGAUGGGUGAAAGCCUCUUGCCUUUCGGUCGUGGUCGCUACAGCCGGGGUCGCCAGCUUGCUGUGAUGGACUGAGCGAGAUUGCCCCUUUUUGCCAAAGAAUUUAAUAGUGUAUGUGUAAAGAUUUAUUUGAUUCAUACUUGUAUGUGUAAAAAUUGAGUUGAUUCAUACUUGUAUAAUACAAUACAUUUUAGCUCAUGUUCUUGAAUGAAUAAAUAAUAAUCUUUUCUAUCAUGCCCUGUUUGUUGGUUUCUUUAAAAGUUCUUUUUUAAUUUAGCAUUUUUAUG